AUUGAACGCUGGCGGCAGGCCUAACACAUGCCAGUCGAGCGGAUGAAGGGAGCUUGCUCCUGGAUUCAGCGGCGGACGGGUGAGUAAUGCCUAGGAAUCUGCCUGGUAGUGGGGGAUAACGUCCGGAAACGGGCGCUAAUACCGCAUACGUCCUGAGGGAGAAAGUGGGGGAUCUUCGGACCUCACGCUAUCAGAUGAGCCUAGGUCGGAUUAGCUAGUUGGUGGGGUAAAGGCCUACCAAGGCGACGAUCCGUAACUGGUCUGAGAGGAUGAUCAGUCACACUGGAACUGAGACACGGCCCAGACUCCUACGGGAGGCAGCAGUGGGGAAUAUUGGACAAUGGGCGAAAGCCUGAUCCAGCCAUGCCGCGUGUGUGAAGAAGGUCUUCGGAUUGUAAAGCACUUUAAGUUGGGAGGAAGGGCAGUAAGUUAAUACCUUGCUGUUUUGACGUUACCAACAGAAUAAGCACCGGCUAACUUCGUG
rnacentral:rRNA from 1 species